rnacentral:tRNA from 1 species
UCUAAAAUAGCUCAGUUGGUAGAGGGUCGGACUACAAAUUGAAAGGUCCUCGGUUCGAUCCCUGGUUGCGGCA